CGGCGCUUCCAAGAUGACCAAGAAAAGAAGGAACAACGGUCGUGCCAAAAAGGGCCGCGGCCACGUGCAGCCUAUUCGCUGCACCAACUGUGCCCGAUGCGUGCCCAAAGAUAAGGCCAUUAAGAAGUUCGUCAUUCGGAACAUCGUAGAGGCGGCAGCCGUCAGGGACAUUUCUGAAGCGAGUGUUUUCGACGCCUACGUGCUUCCCAAGCUGUAUUCAGGAAUCGCUCUCGGGAAGCCCGUAAGGACCGGACACCUCCACCCCGAUUUAGACCUGCGGGUGCUGCCCCACGUCCUCCACCAAAGCCCAUGUAAGGAUCCAAGUCCUUAAAGACUGAAGAAAUACUGGUGUCGCUGAAAAGACAAUAAAAUGGAAAUUAUACUUUAUGUAGCAUGUUGAAUAUAUGUUGCCAGAUGGAGUGGGGGUUGUGUACAUUUGGUCUCCCCAGUUUGCGUAGCUUAGGGGUGGGGGUGAGGAAUUAGGGCAUCUGUGUUUGAUUAAUUCAGCCUCGCAAAUGGUUUAAGUUGGUGUCUUUAAAAUGGGGAGGAAACUAGCAGAGUGAGGAGUGCAUCAGGAAGUCACUUAGGCUAAGGUGUGCAUUCCUCUUGUGGCAACAUGAAGACUUUAAUAAACGUCCACAACUUGCAUAAGGGGAUCUGUAUUUAGGUCCUUAACCUCAGGUCAAGUUUACAUGCCUACCUUGGUCUGCUGCUAAGCUAAUCACCCAGCCUUCAUCUUUCUGUGGUACAUUGCUUUAUGGGGUGACAAUGCCCUGAAUGCCAGGCAUUCGUAGAAAUUUGUG
rnacentral:lncRNA from 1 species